rnacentral:rRNA from 1 species
UACCCAGGACGGUGGAUCACUCGGCUUGUGGGUCGAUGAAGAACGCAGCAAAUUGUGCGUCGACAUGUGAACUGCAGAACACAUGAACAUCGACGUUUCGAACGCACACUGCGGUCCAUGGAUUCCGUUCUCGGACCAUGUCUGCCUGAGGGUCA